UGGGGCCCUAAUUAUUUUUGUUUUCUUAUUCCUGUGUUGCUUUUCCUCUUCUUCUGUUAUCUUCCUUCUGCAACUUCUUCAUAUCGGUAUUCCUUUUUUCUUUUUUACUUUUUUCUAAAUGUAAAGAGUUGCAUGGAGUGAUGUCUUAAAAUGAAAGUGAUAUUCUCUCUAUUUCAAAAAAACAUGAACAUUUAUUAAUGUGCUAUUGUGCCAAAAAAUAAUAUCUAUAACAUAAAAC
rnacentral:lncRNA from 1 species